CGUGUAUUCGACCUUUUGUCGACAAAGGUCCCAUGAGCGACAGCUGUCAAAAUAAAUGGAAAAGUUUAUACGACGCACCUGUAAUAUUGAUUCUGCCUCGUUUAACAGUUUUUUUGCACCAUGUUAAUCCACCCAUUCAUUGCUUGAUGCUGCGAUUCUCCGAAAACAAACCGUUUGGUUUGCCUAUGGAAAGACCUCAACUGAAGACCCGCCAGAUCGCAGCUUUGUUAUCUCUUCACUUGAUGGUUCCAGUGGAGAAACAGCAUCGGGAUCGAUUCCAUGGAUGAGAAUGAGCAUCCAUUCGCCAUCCAACCUUCAAGCGAAUCAGUGUAUUCCAUGGCAAAAUCGGUCCGCACCGGCUUGGCACCUGGAAACAUCAAUGGAUCAUUCUUCCCAUGCCAAUCAAUCCCUUCGUCUUUCCUGACACGUCUUCAUUCGUUGAAUCACCAGCUUCGUCAGACGAUAGCCCAGGCCUUGAAACCGAGUCCAUAAAAACGAGUUAUGGAGAGUUGACUGUUGUACUAAAUUCGGUUUUUGUUUACUAACUACUAAACAGCUCGAAGAUUUAUUAUCAAAAACUAUUUUUUGAAAUGUGUUAACUUAUUUCUA
rnacentral:lncRNA from 1 species